rnacentral:rRNA from 1 species
UACGUAGGGGGCAAGCGUUGUCCGGAUUUAUUGGGCGUAAAGAGCGUGUAGGCGGCCUGACAGGUCUGCUGUGAAAACUCGAGGCUCAACCUCGAGAUGUCGGCGGAAACCGUCUGGCUAGAGUCCGGAAGAGGAGAGUGGAAUUCCUGGUGUAGCGGUGAGAUGCGCAGAUAUCAGGAAGAACACCUAUGGCGAAGGCAGCUCUCUGGGACGGUACUGACGCUGAGACGCGAAAGCGUGGGGAGCGAACAGG